UCCUAAGGUAGCGAAAUUCCUUGUCGGGUAAGUUCCGACCCGCACGAAAGGCGCAACGAUCUGGGCACUGUCUCAACGAGAGACUCGGUGAAAUUAUAGUACCUGUGAAGAUGCAGGUUACCCGCGACAGGACGGAAAGACCCCGUGGAGCUUUACUGCAACCUGAUAUGGAAUGUUUGUACCGCUUGUACAGGAUAGGUAGGAGCCGAAGAGACGUGUGCGCUAGCAUACGAGGAGGCAAUGGUGGGAUACUACCCUGGCUGUAUGACCAUUCUAACCCGCCACGCUUAGCGCGUGGGGAGACAGUGUCAGGUGGGCAGUUUGACUGGGGCGGUCGCCUCCUAAAGAGUAACGGAGGCGCCCAAAGGUUCCCUCAGAAUGGAUGGAAAUCAUUCGCAGAGUGUAAAGGCACAAGGGAGCUUGACUGCGAGACUGACAAGUCGAGCAGGGACGAAAGUCGGGCUUAGUGAUCCGGUGGUUCCGCAUGGAAGGGCCAUCGCUCAACGGAUAAAAGCUACCCCGGGGAUAACAGGCUUAUCUCCCCCAAGAGUCCACAUCGACGGGGAGGUUUGGCACCUCGAUGUCGGCUCGUCGCAUCCUGGGGCUGUAGUCGGUCCCAAGGGUUGGGCUGUUCGCCCAUUAAAGCGGCACGCGAGCUGGGUUCAGAACGUCGUGAGACAGUUCGGUCCCUAUCCGUCGCGGGCGCAGGAAAUUUGAGAGGAGCUGUCCUUAGUACGAGAGGACCGGGAUGGACACACCGCUGGUGUACCAGUUGUUCCGCCAGGAGCAUCGCUGGGUAGCUAUGUGUGGCAGGGAUAAACGCUGAAAGCAUCUAAGCGUGAAGCCCCCCUCAAGAUGAGAUUUCCCAUUUCUUCGGAAAGUAAGAUCCCUGAAAGAUGAUCAGGUAGAUAGGUUUGGAGUGGAAGUGUAGCGAUACAUGGAGCGGACAAAUACUAAUCGAUCGAGGACUUAACCAAAAA
rnacentral:rRNA from 1 species